rnacentral:tRNA from 2 species
UGGGGAUUAGCCAAGCGGUAAGGCAACGGACUUUGACUCCGUCAUCUCAGGUUCGAAUCCUGAAUCCCCAGCCA